rnacentral:rRNA from 1 species
GACCUCAGAUCAGGCAAGACUACCCGCUGAAU